rnacentral:lncRNA from 1 species
GGGAAACUACUCAAAUGUUGGAAAACUUCCCUACCAGUUCUCUAGUAGACCCAAGUCUGUUUGGUUGCCUGGAGGAGGACGUCUGACUAGGUCUCCUACAUUCAGGCUAAUUUGUCACCUGUCUCCUGGGAGUGCAAUCCAGCAGCAGUGCUGCCCACAGCUCCUCCUACUCCUGUUUACUACCAGACCUCUACCGAGGAUGUGGAGAAACACAGGUGGGCUGGCAUGGAGAAACCUACUGCCUGGUUGGUGACUACAGGGCCUAUGGGGAUGCUGCCAUCCCCACCCCAACAAAGCCCAGAGAAGAGAAGCCAGCAUCCAGGUGGCCCUAUAGGAAUCCUUCCAUUGUUAUCCCAGCAAAGGCUCAAAGCUGAGAAGCCAACAGCCAGGCAUAUUACCAUGCUGUUAUGAAGACACACACAUGGGCCUCACACCUCCUAGUCAGAGCUACUGAGAACUGCGGCAAAGGUGGUGUCAUACAUCUGGGAAGGAAAAACCUGGAGAGAAAUAAAGUGCUACUGAAACUGGAAAUCUGUGGAAAAAGCAUCCAAGGAAUUUUUCUUGCAGUGCCGCCCACAGCUCCUCCUACUCCUGUUUACUACCACAUCCUCUACUGA